rnacentral:rRNA from 1 species
ACUCAAAUGAAUUGACGGGGACCUGCACAAGCAGUGGAGCGUGUGGUUUAAUUCGAUACAAAGCGAAAAACCUCACCAGGGUUUGACAUGUACUUGCUAAGCCUAUGAAAGUAGGCCUCCUUCGAGGGUAGUACACAGAUGCUGCAUGGCUGCAGUCAGCUCGUGGCGUGAGCUGUAUCAUUAAGUUGAGUAACGAGCGCAACCCGCACCGCAUGUUAAAUAAUUCAUGUGGAACAGCCCGGCUUUUGCCGGGAGGAAGGCGCGGAUGACUACAAGUCAGCACGGCUCUUACACCCUGGGCUACACACACCCUACAAUGGCGAAAAACAACGAGUUGCAAGCUAGUAAUAGCAAGCUAAUCUCUUAAAUUUCGCCCCAGUUCAGAUCGAGGGCUGCAAUUCGCCCUCGUGAAGUCGGAAUUGCUAGUAAUCGCGGAUCAGCAGGCCGCGGUGAAUACGUUCUCAGGUCUUGUACACACCGCCCGU